AAAAGAUAUGAAGUGCUCAAAACAUGUCAGAGUGAUUUACUGACAAAAUCACAUAGAUUUUUACGCAUCAAGAAUACCACUCGAAGCUGGCUAACAUCAUAUAAGGCGAUUGUAAAUUUUUUUCAACUUUAUGAUGCUUUGAGGGCAGCUUUGGCAAAUUUAAAGGAUUCUGAAGAUCCUGCCACUUCCACUAUGGCUAGUGCUAUAGUCUAUAGAAUAGAAAAAUUUUAUUUUAUUUUAUCACUAUGUGUUUUGGAUAAAAUAUUGUUGAUAACAAGCUUGGCUUGUACAAAAUUGCAAACCAUUUCGAAGGAUAUAGGGUUUGCAAUAAAUCAAAUUCAAUUGGCAAAAGAUUGCCUGAUUAAUAUGAGAAGUAUAAUUUAAAUUAUUAUCUUUUAUUAUUUUACAAUCCUAAAAUUGAUAAUAACACUGAAUUUUUGGAUGUCUUUUCAAAGGCCCAAGAUUUUAUAAAGAAGAGAAAUUUACCUUUUGAUUUUGAAAGUUCAAGACUUCAAACAUUACAAUCCAAAAAGGAGAGUUUAGUGAAAGAUUUAACGAUGAAUCGAUAAAAUUUUUGAGUCAAACAUCAUUUUUUACCCCAAAGGGAAUGGCGGAAAAGGCAAUUGUUAAAGAUGAUAUCAAGGAUAUCUGUGAAUUUUAUCAAUUAAAUACAAGUCAAGUUUUUGAGGAAAUGUUGAUGUUUAGAAAUAUUUAUAAAAUGGCUAAAACGGGGGACG